AUUGAACGCUGGCGGCAUGCCUUACACAUGCAAGUCGAACGGCAGCAUGGAAGAGCUUGCUCUUCUGAUGGCGAGUGGCGAACGGGUGAGUAAAGCAUCGGAACGUACCGUGUAGUGGGGGAUAACGUAGCGAAAGUUACGCUAAUACCGCAUACGCACUGAGGUGGAAAGCAGGGGAUCGCAAGACCUUGCGCUAUCCGAGCGGCCGAUGUCAGAUUAGCUAGUUGGUGGGGUAAAGGCCUACCAAGGCGACGAUCUGUAGCGGGUCUGAGAGGAUGAUCCGGCACACGGGAACUGGGAAACGGACCAGACUCCUACGGGAGGCAGCAGUGGGGAAUGUUGGACAAUGGGGGAAACCCUGAUCCAGCCAUGCCGCGUGAGUGAAGAAGGCCUUCGGGUUGUAAAGCUCUUUCGGCUGGGAAGAAAUCGCACAGGCUAAUACUCUGUGUGGAUGACGGUACCAGCAUAAGAAGCACCGGCUAACUACGUGCCAGCCGCCGCAGUAA
rnacentral:rRNA from 1 species